rnacentral:rRNA from 1 species
AGGGUUCGAUUCUGGCUCAGGAUGAACGCUGGCGGCGUGCUUAACACAUGCAAGUCGAACGGGAUCCAUCAGGCUUUGCUUGGUGGUGAGAGUGGCGAACGGGUGAGUAAUGCGUGACCGACCUGCCCCAUACACCGGAAUAGCUCCUGGAAACGGGUGGUAAUGCCGGAUGCUCCGACUCCUCGCAUGGGGUGUCGGGAAAGAUUUCAUCGGUAUGGGAUGGGGUCGCGUCCUAUCAGGUAGUCGGCGGGGUAACGGCCCACCGAGCCUACGACGGGUAGCCGGCCUGAGAGGGCGACCGGCCACAUUGGGACUGAGAUACGGCCCAGACUCCUACGGGAGGCAGCAGUGGGGAAUAUUGCACAAUGGGCGCAAGCCUGAUGCAGCGACGCCGCGUGCGGGAUGACGGCCUUCGGGUUGUAAACCGCUUUUGAUCGGGAGCAAGCCUUCGGGUGAGUGUACCUUUCGAAUAAGCACCGGCUAACUACGUGCCAGCAGCCGCGGUAAUACGUAGGGUGCAAGCGUUAUCCGGAAUUAUUGGGCGUAAAGGGCUCGUAGGCGGUUCGUCGCGUCCGGUGUGAAAGUCCAUCGCUUAACGGUGGAUCUGCGCCGGGUACGGGCGGGCUGGAGUGCGGUAGGGGAGACUGGAAUUCCCGGUGUAACGGUGGAAUGUGUAGAUAUCGGGAAGAACACCAAUGGCGAAGGCAGGUCUCUGGGCCGUUACUGACGCUGAGGAGCGAAAGCGUGGGGAGCGAACAGGAUUAGAUACCCUGGUAGUCCACGCCGUAAACGGUGGAUGCUGGAUGUGGGGCCCGUUCCACGGGUUCCGUGUCGGAGCUAACGCGUUAAGCAUCCCGCCUGGGGAGUACGGCCGCAAGGCUAAAACUCAAAGAAAUUGACGGGGGCCCGCACAAGCGGCGGAGCAUGCGGAUUAAUUCGAUGCAACGCGAAGAACCUUACCAAGGCUUGACAUAUACUGGACCGCAUCAGAGAUGGUGUUUCCCUUCGGGGCUGGUAUACAGGUGGUGCAUGGUUGUCGUCAGCUCGUGUCGUGAGAUGUUGGGUUAAGUCCCGCAACGAGCGCAACCCUCGCCCUGUGUUGCCAGCACGUCAUGGUGGGAACUCACGGGGGACCGCCGGGGUCAACUCGGAGGAAGGUGGGGAUGACGUCAGAUCAUCAUGCCCCUUACGUCCAGGGCUUCACGCAUGCUACAAUGGCCGGUACAACGGGAUGCGACACGGCGACGUGGAGCGGAUCCCUGAAAACCGGUCUCAGUUCGGAUUGGAGUCUGCAACCCGACUCCAUGAAGGCGGAGUCGCUAGUAAUCGCGGAUCAGCAACGCCGCGGUGAAUGCGUUCCCGGGCCUUGUACACACCGCCCGUCAAGUCAUGAAAGUGGGUAGCACCCGAAGCCGGUGGCCUAACCCUUUGUGGAUGGAGCCGUCUAAGGUGAGACUCGUGAUUGGGACUAAGUCGUAACAAGGUAGCCGUACCGGAAGGUGCGGCUG